GAAAUGCGAUAAGUAAUGUGAAUUGCAGAAUUCAGUGAAUCAUCGAAUCUUUGAACGCACCUUGCGCUCCUUGGUAUUCCUCGGAGCAUGCCUGUUUGAGUAUCAUGGAAUUCUCAACUCCCAAGUUUCUUUUGAAGCAUGGUGAGCUUGGACUUGGAGGUUGUGCAGGCUUGUUUCAACUCUGCUCCUCUGAAAUGAAUUAGUAUGAAUCUUAUGGAUCGCCUUCAGCGGGAUAAUUGUCUAUGCUGUGGCUGUGAAGUAUUUUAUAUAUUCAUACUUAUAAUUGUCUAUCUAGACAUUAUCUUUGACUUCUGAUCUCAAAUCAGGUAGGACUACCCGCUGAACUUAA
rnacentral:misc_RNA from 1 species